CUUUGCCACCAGUGAGGUGCGAGGAAGGGGAGGGAGAGCCACAAGGAACAUCUGGAGAAGCCGAGCCAGGGAAGGGCACACAGCCCCCUGCACAGGGUCCAGGGGUCCUGGGGCUGCGGUGGGCGUGGCCACCAAGAGAGCGGCUCCAGGCCAGGCUUGUUCUGUCGGUGACUGAAGGGUCUUUAAGGCAUUCUUCUGCCUUCAGCUACGGGAAGCAACAGCAGAGGACAGCUCACCUGAAGUGUUUCCCCAGCUCCAACCCUCUGUGUCCCGCCAUCAAACACACAGACGCACGCCCACAUCUUCAAAAAGAAGAGAAGCCCGCUUCACACCAAAAGGUGUUUCAGAAUAGAGCCUCAUCAUUGAUUCAAGCCCCGCCCAACCUAAGAGACUCCUGAGCUGCUAGUCAUGGUGUUGGUGGAAAAUCUGGAAGCGACCAGAAAAGAAAAAGGGAUAUGGUGUUCAUCCCUACCUCUUCUUUCUGUGGAUCUUGGUGCGUUUUGGCUCGUCAAUGCCACCUUGAUCAUUUCUGAUGGGACCCUGGAUGGUGAUU
rnacentral:lncRNA from 1 species